AGUUACCUUGGUGAUGAGUUUAAAUCUCAGAUUGAUGUGGCGCUGUCACAGGACUCUACUUACCAGGGUGAACGUGCAUAUCAACAUGGCGGAGUGACGGGACUGUCACAGUAUUAGAGUGUUGAGGAAGAAGAGCUAAGCUUGUGUGGAGCUUAGUUCAUCAGCAUUUUAUUCUGGGUAAUAAAAAAAAUAAAAUAAAAUGGAUACCUGUUUUCCACUGCUAAAACUGAAGCACCACUGUGUGAGAGCAACAGGAGAAAGAAACCAACCAACGGAGAGGAGAGAGAGAGAAAGGAGCGCGCGCGAGAGAGCCCACUGCUAGCUCACUGAGACAAGGAGACUGACCGGAGAGGAGAGAGAGCACCGAAGGACUGGCUGGCGCCUCACUGGGAAGGCAACUCACCCUGAAAUGAGUGGUCAGCUGAGUCCCUGCUCCCCCAGUCAAACAAGCUCGAGAGAAGGGCCUUAAGCAGGUUUCACUUCAUUCCAUACUUCUCUUUGCGAGCAGGGCAUUACUUUUCAGAGCAGAUGGGGAGAGGAAAACCCUCAUCUCAGAGUUGUUCUCGUUUUAAAGGGGUACUAUAUUUUAGCAGUAACUGUUUACAUUUUAGAAGCAGAGUAUCUUGAGAGAGAGAGAGAGUUCCUGACUAAGUGACAGCAAGCCAAGCAGAAAUCCAGCAGAACAUAGCUGAUGCUCAACUCUGAGAUGCAGGUUUUGUUGUCCAACACUGGCUCUGAAAUCCUAGUGUCAUCGUGUCGCCCACAUUCUGAAUGGGUCUUUCGUGACAAGGUGGUUUUAAAGAGAUUCUUUCAAAGGAGCACUGAAUUUUUAGAAGUUUGUCUCUGAAUUCUUAGUGGUGGACCUGGGAGAUCCUUGUUCUGAGAAGCUUACAAAAAGUUUAAAACAAAACUAAAUUAGAGCACCAACAUUGAGAACUUUCAGUGUGAUUAAAAGUUGCAGCAAUCAGCCUCUUCUUCCUACAUUGGAUAGCAGUUAGAGUGAAAGGAGCCUGCGCGCUCAAGCAGGAGGAGGGUUUCAAAGUGUUUUCUGUAUGCUUUAAUUGGCUACUGUCUGGACUCUACUCUGAAAAACAAGCCUUUCUGUAAGGUGAACUUUGCGCUUGAAAGGGGAUGGGUUCCUGUGCCCUUCGGCCCUGGAGGAAAAGAUGCUAACAGGCCUGCUUUACUCGCUCCCUCAGAUCUGGGGAAGAAGUAGUGGAAACUGGGGAUUAUAUUGGUUUUGAAGUAAAGACUCUACAAUGUUACUGAAGCAGGUUGGAAAAAUGGACAAAGCAGGCAGUUGUUGGAAGGUGGCCUCUGAUAGCUGGGUAUAAUUAGAGAUAAUGGGUUAGGCUUUUGUGUGGCUUCUUCGGUGAUUAAUGCAGAUAGCUGAAAGAGUCAGGUGUUGAAAACCAAACCCGGAGCCUAUUUUUCAGGUAGUGGACACGGCUGUGCCAUCAAUGCUGGCUUGAGAAAUAGCUGGAAGUCAAAACUGAAAACAGCACAUAAGAGAAGCCAUCCAAUUUCUAAGUUGUACCCAUGUCUUAAAUAAGUCAUAUGGGAACACUGGGAGCAUUUUAUUUCUGUUUAAACCUUUUUAGAAACAGCGCGGAGAAUUUAAAAUUCCUACAGACCCAUUUUUAUCAGAUCCCUAAAUUAGACUAACCUCUACCUCCUAAUUGGCAAAGAACAGUAGAGUGUGAUUCACUAACCUAGGUGUUUUUAAAGUUUGAAUUAAGUUAGCUUUAUACUCAAAGGGCUCCAAGUGUUUCUAGUCUUUUUUUUGAGAGAACUCAAAAUACCUCUCAUAUGAAUGUACUCAAAUGAUGUAAAACCCACUUUUUGUAACUGGGGGGGGAAAGCCCUUUCAUUACUGUCCUUUCUGUAGAUUGUUGACCCGCUUUCAUAACCUGUAUUUGCUGUAGUUUUUCAAGAGUGUCUCUCCCCCAGUGCAGACCUGGUGUAGCAUACCCACAAACUGUGAGUAGUGUGCACAUAAACAUGGAACAGGUGUUCAACAUUUUUGUUCAGUCCUGCAGUGAACGUAGUUCAAGAACUGCAAAAGAAACUUUUCCAGAAAUGAAAACCAUUCUUUUCUCAUAAAAAGCCUCCAGAGUUUAGACUUCUAAAAUGUGAAAGAAUGGAGACAUGGGCCACCUUCCCUCCUUGUAAGAUGGACUGUUUUAUUUAUUAACAUUGCCGAAGGGCUUUUUAAUUUUUUUCCUUCUGUAGGCUGCGUAGUUGCAUAGACUUUUCCAAUAGGUUUAAGCUGUAACCCUCUGUGCAAUGCAAUCCAUUGAGUAAUGUAACCCCCUCCUCUCCCCUCACCCCCUUUAUUUCACUGAUGGGAAUGCUUGCCUCUGCUUUGUGCUGGUUUUUUCCUUUGUAGCAGUUACUCUGAGUUUUAUAAAUCCAGACAUCAGUGCUAGCACGGUGUUACUCUUUUUUGAUUUUGUCUCAGUUUGUUUUAAACCUGUUUGUCAUCAAUAAAAUAUUAAUAAACAGCUCUUGCAUUCAA